GCCACCUCCCCGCCAUCGGGCGGGGGCCUCGCUCAUUGGCCGGUCCGGCCGGACUUGUUGCCGGGAGAUCCAGAGAAAGGCAACCACCCCAGGGAGACCUUCCCCCUCCCCUCCGCUCCCCCUUUGGGGAGGAGGGCGCCGACCAGUGUGAGCAGGGAGCCGGAUUCUGGAGGGGCUGGAAACUCUAGCCGUUAGCUGAGAGGAUGCCACUACCCACCCCACUGGCUGUGGUACCGUCAGCCCGUUUCAAAGGCCUUCAUCAACGAUGGCUUCCGGCGGUCACCAUCUGGAGUUGACAGUGCAUUGGCCAGAGCCUGUGACCUGCCUGAGAGCUCAUUCCCUGAUUCCAUCCACCACCCUGCCACCCUCCCUAUGUGGCACUGGCUCCCUUCGGACCGGGAACGCAGGGAUGGGGAACCCUUGAGGGAGCUGAUGCCUGGGUGGCAGGCUGCAUCGGGCCUAGAAAUUCAGAGUGGAGAGCCCCAUGCCGGAGGGAAGGAUUCUCGGACUUUGCUCAGCCUGCUCAUCUUUGACCAGGGGCCGGCCGGCCUUCACCGUGGGAAAAGCUGCGCGGGCCGGCCGAGCAGCCGACGGCGGCGCCCGCCCAGACCGCCUUUGGGCGAAGCCGCAUUUCCCACCAGGCAUGCUGGGAAGAGCGAGGGAUAGUAGCAGAUGCUGUCGGGGCCCUAAGCAACAGAUGCUUUCUGGGCAAGCUCCAGCCUGGCUGGCCAGACCACCCCAUUCACGAGUCCGAGCACGGCUCCCCCGCCCCCUCCCUGUUUUCCAAGGGAGGAGGAAAAUACAAAUAUUGCAGAGGAAUCAAUGACAGCAGAUGGUGGCGGCAGGAUUUAAUGAAAUCAGGGUCAGGUAUGAGGCUCCGUUUGGCGGGACCGUCGCUCACCCUGGCCGGGGAAACGAAGGUUCAAACCUAGGACGCAACCUUAAAGCGACGGCUCACCCCCUUGCUCCCGCUGCUGACCCGGCCGGUCAGUUCUGAGGCAGUCAUCAGGUUAGACAAACAUACGUUGGAGAUUUUUUUAAAUUCAA